rnacentral:ncRNA from 1 species
GCAGAGUAGGAAUGUGAGCGUUAAGUGCCAGCCGGACGGGGAGUUGCCAGUCGGACGAAAAGUUGCAUCUCAAUGUAUACUUGCGGUUCACAUUCCGCAUCCCGCUGC